UACGUAGGGCGCAAGCGUUGUCCGGAAUUAUUGGGCGUAAAGAGCUCGUAGGCGGCCUGUUGCGUCCGCUGUGAAAUCCCGGGGCUUAACCCCGGGCGUGCAGUGGAUACGGGCAGGCUGGAGGCAGGCAGGGGAGAACGGAAUUCCCGGUGUAGCGGUGAAAUGCGCAGAUAUCGGGAGGAACACCGGUGGCGAAGGCGGCUUUCUGGCCCACCACUGACGCUGAGACGCGAAAGCUAGGGGAGCGAACGGG
rnacentral:rRNA from 1 species